rnacentral:telomerase_RNA from 1 species
GUCAGACAUCCAUUCAUCUAAUCGGUACCUUAAUCAUUCAUGGUGAAGAUAUGCUUAAUUUCCCACUAUUUUCAGAGAUAUGUUUAUCCAUUCAGUUAUCCGUCAACAGAACAACUAAAGACUGACGAAGUUUCCAUCCUACAUGGCACGUCUAAAAUAUAAUGAAUAACUCAGUCCUCAUGACAUUGUGAGCCAUUUGAAUCCAUUUACCUUAGUUGGCCCUUCUGAUAGUUUGAGAUCAUUCAUUUGUACACCAAUGAUCGUGACAUCCUUACACUAAUAAAAACGAUGUUUUAUUUACAUUGUAUGYUGAAUAUUUUUCAGGUUUGAAAGGSAACAAAUUCUUCUAUUUGCACUAACCUUCGUGAAAACCACGUAAAAAACUUUACCAGGAUUUCGASGAUUUAAUUUGCUGGGUCAUAUCGAAGAAUGUUGAUUAUUUGCUUUACACAAGGACUCUGCUUUCUAGUUUUCGAGUACUCUAUGCAAUAAUCAUGUCAUUCCGGCAGAUGGGCUCAUCCUAAGAUCAAUACGAAGUUAGCUAGCAACACUUGGAAGACCUUUCUUUCUCAUAAAGUUAUUAUUCUUUAGCCCGGGGUAUUCAGCAAAAUUUCCCAUACUUUUUUUUUGUUUAGKGRAUUUUUYCUUUUUKGUUUUUGAAGGGAAAUUUUAAAUCAAAAAUAAUUAUCAAACAAAUAACAGGUAUUAARAGAUGAUGAUAGGAGACCAAGCCKGGUUUUUUUUUGGUUUCACUCAUUUUGCGUGGGAGUAUGCACUUUGGGAUGAUCUAUACUGGGGAGUUUGAUUUACCUACUGUUUUUGUUUUGAUUUUCYUGGGGUGCCAUGUUCUUCGGAUUGUGGUGRCCGUUCCAGGAUUCRAUCAGAAACUUUUUUGGGURAAUUCUCCUUUCUUGUCYCCAUUUAUGGAGUCAGAUAAAAAGUUGGUUGUCUUUGCUAAUUCUCACUAGAGUGUUUCUGGCAUUGCCGAAAUCAGGUAUUCCUUUUCAUUGCACAAUUUCUUAUCCUGCAGUGAGAAACCUAGAGAUCUAACUAAAAGAAAUAUAGCUGUAUCUUUGGUUUUUGGUGUGAAUAUGGGAUCACUGUAAGGACUAAUGUCAGAUUUAGGAUGUUAUUCAGAAAAUCAUGGUCUUUUCCUAACUAAUUAUCUCUUGUUUUUCUAUUUCAUAGAAGACUGGAGGGAAGAGUGGUUGCGAGGGAUUAAAAUUACUCGUUGGAGUUAUUCCAGUUGAGUUUUCUUGUUUACAUUUAAAGUUCAUUCCAGUUUCAGAUCUAAGGACUUCCUAAUUAGUGGUUUGUUACCAAUGUUCAUGUCGGGCAUGCUAGACUCUUGAACCGUGUUUGAAGUUUUAUGUACAAAAAUGGAGUAAUUGGCGAUCUUACUGAUUCCGUAUUAGUUUGGGACUGAAGACAAUUUGGAGUGUCCAGGAUGGGGAGGACGAUGAGUCGUUCUUGGAGAGGGAUUUACAUAGCACGAAUGUGAUAUUGGAAUGAUAUGAAAGUGGGAUUUUAAGAUAGAUUAGAUUUGGGUGUCUCCUUCCUUUAUUACAAACCUUUUUUUUUUU